AGGUGAGGAACACUGCAGUGAUGUUUUACAGUAAGCCAGGUGAGGAACACUGCAGUGAUGUUUUACAGUAAGCCAGGUGAGGAACACUGCAGUGAUGUUUUACAGUAAGUCAGGUGAGGAACACUGCAGUGAUGUUUUACAGUAAGCCAGGUGAGGAACACUGCAGUGAUGUUUUACAGUAAGCCAGGUGAGGAACACUGCAGUGAUGUUUUACAGUAAGUCAGGUGAGGAACACUGCAGUGAUGUUUUACAGUAAGUCAGGUGAGGAACACUGCAGUGAUGUUUUACAGUAAGUCAGGUGAGGAACACUGCAGUGAUGUUUUACAGUAAGUCAGGUGAGGAACACUGCAGUGAUGUUUUACAGUAAGUCAGGUGAGGAACACUGCAGUGAUGUUUUACAGUAAGCCAGGUGAGGAACACUGCAGUUGACAUUUAACAGUUUUUUCUUUUUUUGUUGCUAAUUAUUUUUGCUUUGAUUCAAGGAAACCUAUGUUGUGAUUUUAUUGUAUUUCAUCAAUAAAUGUAAUAUUUUGUUCAAUGAUUCCACUGUGUCUGUAGUAUUCUCUCUACUAGUUAUUUUACAGUGAUGUAUUUACGUGUAGUAGCAUAAUGAAACAUGUAUCACA